CACUGCUCACAUGCUGUGCCCUUUUUAGGCUCAGGGCUAUACAGUAUAUACCAGGCCCUGAUGGAGUUUGGGGGUCCUUCAUUUGACCCUCGAGUGAGACACAGAGAGAGUGAGAAUCCUCUCUCGCCAUUCAAAGCAGUCACGCGCCGAUUUCUUUACUUUUUUUUUUAUUGUUGCCGUUUCUUUGUGACUCUUAACCAGGGUUACCAGGCUGGUACCCCAAAUCCAGAACCUUUGUUGGACCGCUCUGUUUACAGUAUUCCCAAAUUGCCCAUCUUUAUUCAGCGUUCAAAGUGCUAAAUCGACGGGAUGAAGACUCAGAAACAGCAAGGCGCCCAAAGACACGCACAACAAUUCAACCGAUGAGCCUCUUUAAAGGACUCAGCCCUCGAGCCCCAAAUGACAAGUCCACGCUGUGUGCACCUGGGCACAGGUAUGAAGAGGACCCUGAAAGGGGUGAGAGGUGCCAGGCACAAAGGAAAGGUCACAGGCUCCAUUCAGUAAGAAAUGGCACUGGAAAGUUCUGAAUAAGACGACGAUGACGAUGACGACCAAGUGGAACUCGCUGUAAACGUUUUAACAAUACGCCAAAUGACCGAAUGACCCAAUUUAAUUUGGUUGACGAGGGCAGUGCCCCACCUACCCUUUAAUCAGAGGGCACACACCCUAGCAUUCCUGCCCCCACCACAUCUGAAGGCUGGCACUGAGGGGCUGCCCUGUGCCCUCUCCUGUAUCUAUGGGCACACUGGGGGUGUCAUGAAAACUGUUUCAUUGGCAGGGCAGUCCACGGGUUACACCUCAAAUGUCAAAGCCCCUGGUCAUUUUGUGCCCCCCUGUCAGGGCAGCAGUGCUCUCUCUAUAAGAAGCUCUUGUAAUGUCACAGCUGCUCCAGGAAGGGCGCUGUAUGAUUUGGCUCACACUGCCAGGCCUCGGCCUCGGGCACUCUCUCACACAUGCUCGUCACACACGCUCGUCACUCGCCAUCUUCUCAGCUCUUCCUGUCUGUCUGUCUGUCUGGUGACGUUCUACACACACCCGAGUGUGCGAAUCGCAGACCUCAAACCACAACUGAAGGGACAGAUGCCAGGCGCCCUCCUAGACAGACUUUCCUGGCCCGUUCCAUUUUUGUUUUUUGGUUUUUUUUUGCGUUUGUUUUUAAUUUCCUUGACAGGAUGUCCCACCCACUAAAGUGAAGCCUAUCAUUGAUAGGCUAUGUGACAACGAGGCUGCCUCGGCUGAUUGGCCAAACACCUGCCAUCUUCAGUUCAAAAAUUGCCGGGACUGGCAUUAACUGCUAAGUGGGGCACUAGGCGGGUAUUCUCACCAGCCAUUUUAUUCACCAGGAUGGAUUAACUUUAGACUCUUGAGGUGGCACCAGAGUGGGACCCUGCAGGCACAGACAUGACAACAGAAAGCGGACGCUCCGGCUGGAGCUAAAAGAAAAGAGAAGAAACAGGCGAUGUUUGAAAAGGGAUCGUAGCGUCGAGCGCCUUUGCUGCCCCUGCCACGAUGGUCCUGAUCUCCCUUCAUCAGCUUAUCAGAGCCACAAACUCCGACUGCAGUCGUGUUGCUGGGGAUUCUGGUCAACUCAGCGUUAAUCUGGAAAUACAAAGCACGGAGCAAUCAGAAUGAGAUUCCAGUCAAUCCGUGACGCCAUUCAGAAUUGUUUCGAAUUGUGUUCUAAAAGUGAAGAUCAGCGAGGAGUUCUUGAGAAUCACGGCAGUCCAUCUGGUGGCAAAGUCGAUGACUUCCCUGGAUAAACUCACACCGAGGCUGAGGAGCAUUUCCAUUAACAAGGGAGGCGCCGUAGAAGAAGAAGAAGUCCAGAUGGUGCCAGGCGGGACGAUACUCUGCACAAGUGAGGAGAGCUUAUUGUUCUCCGCUGUCUGAUGGAGCACCCUAGUGAAACUGUGGAGGAUCUGCUGAAAGGUGUGAGAUAAGGAGAUCAGGCCUCAUUUUAUUUCCUCUUCUGUUUGCGGAGAUGAAGCCGUUUCUUAAUAUUGCAUUGACUGAGUGGAGCUGAAAAAAUAAAAAGCUCUAAUCUACACGAUGACAGCUCUAAGGAACUAAUCCGCCAUCACGUUAGUAACGCUCCAGUCUUUCACUCAGUACUUUGUUAUUCUCUGCUUUCUCAGUGUUUGUCUCAAAAAUAACGUCAACGUAACAGAAAACUUUGACAACCCAAGAAAUGGCCGAGUCAAAUCUCAAGUGGGUUUCACAGAGGAGCCAUUGAUGUCAUUUGUUGGGCGCUGGAGGUCAUCCGUCUGGAUUGUUCCUAAUUUGAGGAGCGGAGAGUCUGCCCGGAGUCGGCGCCCUGCAUGUGAGUGUUUGUGGUGAAGCAUGAAGGAGAGCCUGAGGCUCAACCAGGAGACGUUGGUGGGAUUCUUGAGGGAACUGAAGCUGGAAAUAAUCUGAGUGUCCUGUCACCGGGCGUCACCUUCACUGAAUCGACGUCACCCUAAAGGGCCCAGAGAUACUUCAUUUGAACUGGGCGGUCUCCCUCUUGGCCCAGACGGUCUUCUUCAGGUUCAUGUGCUGCUGAUGUUAAAGCUUUAUUAUUUACAUCAACUUUAUUAACUGCAAUAUUAGAAGUGCGUAUUGUUUGUAUGUUCAGUAUGAGCCAAAAAAAGGCAUCGUUUGCUGGAAUGUUGUUAAGAUUAUUAAGGUUACAACUUCACAGUGAAGCUUACUUUGUAAAACAACAACAACAACAACAUUUAUUUCUAUAGCACAUUUUCAUACAAACAGUAGCUCAAAGUGCUUUACA